ensembl:misc_RNA Metazoa_SRP Metazoan signal recognition particle RNA
GCCAGGCAUGGUGGUGCGUGCCUGUAGUCCCAGCUACUUGGGAGGCUGAGGCAGGAAAAUUGCUUGAACCCAGGAGGUGGAGGCUGCAGUGAGCCGAGAUUGCGCCACUGCACCCCAGCCUGGGUGACAGAGUGAGACUCUGUCUCAA